CUGCCGCGUCCCUCGAUGGAAGGCAACAGCAGCUCGCUCCACCAAGACAAACACGUCCGCGGCCAGACAUGCUGCAGGGGGUUUACAUUUUAAUGCCUUUGUUGGUUUUCCAAAAUAUGCUUCCAUCUCAUUCUGGAUGGGCUCCCUUCAGGUCCACAAAGCCAGAAACUCGUGGGCGAUCACUUCAUCACGUCAGCCGCUCAUCGGCAGGAUGUGGGCUCUCGACUUCCUGGUUGAGGUUCGAGCCUGUGUGGUGUUGCUAAGCCACCGCGGGUGAACGAGGUAAACCGGAGGUGAUGAAGUUGAGCAGAUGUUCCUGCACCGCUUCCCCUUCACCGCCGGCUGAUGAACAAUAUCGAGCCCGCUGAGCGCGAGCGACCUCGGCUGAACCUGACCCCCGACCGGCUGCUGGUCGCCGCGGUUUCAGCUUUUUGUUUCUACAAGUUACAUUAACCGAAACGCUUCCUCAAAUUCAACUGCCACAGUUUCAGUUGAACCCAGUUGCUCAAGACGAGCUGCGUUUUGCAACAGCAGGACGUUUGCAACAGAGGGAAUAAUGUUCUUACAUCUUCUUACUGCGAUGCCAUUUCUUAGAGAAUCUUCUACAUCUAUAGUCCUGUUAUUAAAACCAGUGUAAAUGGAUCCUCAGUGACACUCACCAGUGUGCAGCACAGAGGAAAGAACCACCACAUGAGGGCCAGAGCCACGAGGAUCAGCAGCACCAGGAAGACGAUCGCCACCGCAAAGCCGUCCGACUGGGGGAGGAAACCACAGUAAUCAGAUUACACGCUCUAAUUAGGUCCUUUUAGUUUUGGAUUCCAGGGACAAAAUCUUUGUGUUUGAUAAACAUCGCAGAACUCAAGUGUUUUUAUAUUUCAUUUCAAAUUAAAAAGUGACGACUGCCA